GACGAACGCUGGCGGCGUGCUUAACACAUGCAAGUCGAACGGAGUGGCGAACGGGUGAGUAACGCGUAGGUAACUGCCUCUUAGAGGGGGAUAACUAUUGGAAACGAUAGCUAAUACCGCAUACUCGUAGAUGGACCUGCGUUGUAUUAGCUAGGAGGUAGGGUAAUGGCCUACCUAGGCAAAGAUACAUAGCCGACCUGAGAGGGUGAUCGGCCACACUGGGACUGAGACACGGCCCAGACUCCUACGGGAGGCAGCAGUAGGGAAGCUUCGGCAAUGGGGGGAACCCUGACCGAGCAACGCCGCGUGAGUGAAGAAGGUUUUCGGAUCGUAAAGCUCUGUUGUUAAGGAAGCGGUACUUAACCAGAAAGGGACGGCUAACUACGUGCCAGCAGCCGCGGUAAUAC
rnacentral:rRNA from 1 species